ensembl:lncRNA
UGACAAGAAUGAGACUUUAAUCAGUUUUAAGUGGAGUUUUAACACUAAGAGAUAAAGGGUUGUUAAACACAAUAACAAACGGACAUCUGAUUUGUAUGAGGCAUUAUCCUGUACAUGUCAUACUUGGGUUUUGUGUAUUCUCAGUUACACACAGAGCCACUGUUGCACAGCACAAUAGUAUUUGAAGAGGCUGAAUCAGAGUAAGGCUGCUUAACAGACUGAUUUUUUUUUUAGUAUCUAUAUAUAUAUAUGCUAUAUGAAAACAGACUGAAAAUUUGAACCGGCAGAGAAAGGCAGCUCUGCCAAACACUGCAGUUGGAGCCCCUUUUAGUGCACAGUUCCACCCCAUCCAUCUGCAUGCAUGACACUUUCUAACAGUAUUUAAAAGGUAAACGAGGCACUUCGUGGCAACCGCAGGCAUCGUUAACAUAUUGCACACAUUUGCUAUGACUAAACAUGGAACUUGCACACUAACAUCCUAUUUUUUUAGUAUUUUUCUUUUUUUUUUUUUUCUGAAAGCUGAAACAUUUGAUGCUGCAUGUAAACUCCACUUCAGUUUACAAUGUAUGCCACAGGAACAAAUCCGGAAGCUAUUUAUACAACUGCCCUUUAAUAGCUGUGGCAAAGAGUUUGAGUGGGGCUACCAAUGACUAGGGGAUGCUUCGGGGCCUCACAGUAAGCUCUUACCAAAGUGAUGCCUUCAAGUAGUUUCAGACGUGUAAGCCGUUGCACAUCUAAAAAGGUUUAAGCAUACAGUCCAGAAACUCAAGGAAAGAUUACCUACAGAAUGCAGUUCAAGCUAAUUAUGAAUACUGUCAUAAAUAAAGUUUUAAUAAGGACUCAAAAACCUUUCAGUCAUAGUAAUUCUUGUCAACUUCUAUGGGGGUGGUAACUGAAAUAAAGUAUAGGAGAGUAUGUAUAAUAUAUAUAUUUAUAUAUAUAAUAUAUAUAUAAUGCCAUUUUUCCAUUUCCAAUGACUACACCAUAAAAUGUAAGCAAGGCUGCUCAGACAUCGAAACAUUCAAAAUAAUCAAAAACCCUCAUUCCAACCUUCACAUUCCAAAGGAAAAAUAACAGUGCAAAAGCCCAUUGCGUCAUGAUUUCCAAUCCAGCCCUCAGUGUUACAUAGCAGAACCACACCAAUCCAAUUUUUACUAUCCAAAGUGGGACACGCAGCAGUGUCAAUAUCCGAAUACUUUUAAAGCACAACCAUUUUUGUUUAUUAGCCAACACAAUUUUCAACUGUUAAAAAACAGACAAUGUGAAACAUGAUUUGAAGGGUAAGAGUUAAACGUCAUGUCCCAAGGUAACCACCUCCUGCUUGUCAAUAACAGUGGGAAUAAUGAGUGCUGGAACCAGCAAUCUUGAACCAUUAAGCUACUGAAGUGUAAUUAAACCUGUAAGAAAAUAUUUAUCGGCUUUAUUAGAAGUUAGAAUCAUAAAUCUGACGAGCAAAAUUGACCAACAGAUACCAAAGAAAAAAAAAAGGAAAAAAAAAAGGAAAAAAAAAAAAAAGGCAUUUUAUACCUUCGUUUACCAAUAAUAAUUACUGAAAAUCCUGCCUUGUCUCAUUCAAAUUCUUACCAUUAAUGCUGUUGUACAGGGCCCUUACAGAUUCCACACACAGUUUUUAUCUAGGUGAGAACACAGCUAAUGAACUUCAAUGUCAGCACCAAUAAGUUAAAGGGGGGGUUGUAUUAUGUCCUAAAAAAAGUGUUAAUUUGGGGACAGCUAUUCAUGGCAUACUUUAGAGAGAACAGUUUUGUCAGCUACUUCACAUUUGUAUGCAACAGUAGUUGUACUCUUAAGUCAUCUGCAGUCUGGGCAUGUCAAUUAAACACUGAAAGUGAAUCUCAAGCCCUACUCCUGGCUAUAUCUCUUAUGAAAAAAUAAUACAAUACUGCCAGUUUAGAAAUCUAAUUUGCUGGGUGGUUUGUUGUUUUGGUGUUGGGUUGAUGUCUUUUUUUGAAUAUAUUUGGGACAAGCUCUGCUUUUUAAAAGUACGCAUCUUCAUGUAUGCACAGUGUUGAGAAUUUACUGCAACACUGGUUUCCUCUAUAUUGUGUGUAAUGUCUGUUUUUAAAACAUCAUAGGUACUGAGUAUUCAAGUAAAAUUCCCUAACAGUUACUGACGAGUUUUUUUUAAAAGUGUGCAAAACUGCAAAACUCAUUGUAAUAGAAUGUGUAAGGUCAAAGGGGCGGAACAGCCAACAGAGGUUUGAUUGAAUAAAUGCAUCAUAAAUCUUCAAAACAAACAUUAACCUGGAGCAUCUCCAAUUGAAAUUUCCUGUGCACCAUUACAAAAUAUUUUUACAUUAAUGAGAAAGAAAAGCUUGCAAGGCAGCACAUGAAGUAUUCACAGCAGGAAUAUGAUUGAAAAACUAAUAAUAUAAAUGUAAGAUGUUGACUGAUGUAUGCACUAAUGGCAUCUGACUUUUAGCACUGGCCUUGAUUACACAGGAGAUGGAGCAGCCAUUACAAUCCAUAAAAAACCCAAUUAAUAAAUCAUUGUCAAAUUUUGUAACAAUUUGUUUCAAGCCCAUACUUUAGUUGAUAGCCUCCACAUUUGUAUGGUUAAGUCAUUGUUGCUGUGUUUCCUUUCUGUGACCCCAAUAAUUUUUCUCCCUUCAUUUGCGGGUCUUUAGGAUGUUGCAAAGGUUCAUUCCUGUACCCCUAAACAGAAUCACUC